rnacentral:tRNA from 1 species
GGGGCGUUAACUCAGUUGGUAGAGUGUCACCUUGACAUGGUGGAAGUCAUUGGUUCGAGUCCAAUACGCCCCACCA